GAAAUGCGAAAAGUAAUGCGAAUUGCAGAAUUCAGCGAGUCAUCGAGUUUUUGAACGCACAUUGCGCCCGCCAGUAUUCUGGCGGGUAUGCCUGUCCGAGCGUCAUUUCAACCAUCAAGCCCCCGGGCUUGUGUUGGGGACCUGCGGCUGCCCGCAGGCCCUGAAAACCAGUGGCGGGCUCGCUGUCACACCGAGCGUAGUAGCAAUCACCUCGCUCAGGGCGUGCUGCGGGUUCCGGCCGUUAAACAGCCUUACAAAACCCAAGGUUGACCUCGGAUCAGGUAGGAAGACCCGCUGAACUUAAGC
rnacentral:misc_RNA from 1 species